GGAGAGGUGCCGGAGUGGUCGAUCGGGGCGGUCUCGAAAACCGUUGUAUGCGCAAGCUUACCGUGGGUUCGAAUCCCACCCUCUCCGCCA
rnacentral:tRNA from 1 species